UAUACUGACCCACUAAUAAUUUUACUUUUACAUAAUACUGUUAGUCAAAAUAGUAGCAACUAAGAACAUAUCAUCUAAACUUGAAUUUAAGCUUGUUGAUAUCAGGAUUUUGCAUGGCAUGAAAGGUCACAUCAUAUAUGAUGAUGAAUACUGCAGAUUUGAAAUUCUGUGUGCCACUAUUGUAGGGAAAGUGUCAAGAAUAUGUAGAAGCUACAUGAAUUGGCACAAAGGCAAUUGAUUGAGCUUCGUACUAUCAGAGGACUGGGCAGCUAAGGAAGCUGAAGUGAGCCUUCUAAUGGUUGAAGUUAAACGCGCUCAAUCACGAUAAGUUAGCCUUGACUAUGUAAGUAUCAUUAAAUAACCAUGAGCAGCUGUACUAUCAGGUUUUCUUUAUUUUGGCUGCAGGGAGAUUUAUGGUCUCAGUAUCAGACAACAAAUGAAGACACAAGUAAUAAUAGAUGCUCGGAGAUGAGAUUGGGAAGGGGGCGUACGGGCGCGUCUACAAGGGGCUCGACCUGGAGAACGGCGACUUCGUGGCCAUCAAGCAGGUCUCGCUCGAGAACAUCCCUCAGGAGGAUCUCAACAUCAUCAUGG